CAAGUCGAACGGAGCUUGCUUAUCUGAUUCCUUCGGGAUGACGAUUUGUAAGCUUAGUGGCGAACGGGUGAGUAACACGUGAGUAACCUGCCCCAGAGUGGGGGACAACAGUUGGAAACGACUGCUAAUACCGCAUAAGCCCACGGAACCGCAUGGUUCAGAGGGAAAGGAGCAAUCCGCUGAAGGAUGGCCUCGCGUCCGAUUAGCUAGUUGGCGGGGUAACGGCCCACCAAGGCGACGAUCGGUAGCCGGACUGAGAGGUUGAUCGGCCACAUUGGGACUGAGACACGGCCCAGACUCCUACGGGAGGCAGCAGUGGGGAAUAUUGCACAAUGGAGGAAACUCUGAUGCAGCGACGCCGCGUGAGGGAAGAAGAUCUUCGGAUUGUAAACCUCUGUCUUCGGGGACGAUAAUGACGGUACCCGAGGAGGAAGCCACGGCUAACUACGUGCCAGCAGCCGCGGUAAUACGUAGGUGGCAGGUCGACGCGGCCG
rnacentral:rRNA from 1 species